UUGCCAGACUCCUACGGGAGGCAGCAGUGGGGAAUAUUGCACAAUGGGGGAAACCCUGAUGCAGCGACGCCGCGUGAGUGAAGAAGUAAUUCGUUAUGUAAAGCUCUAUCAGCAGGGAAGAAAAUGACGGUACCUGAGUAAGAAGCCCCGGCUAACUACGUGCCAGCAGCCGCGGUAAAACGUAGGGUGCAAACGUUGUCCGGAAUUACUGGGUGUAAAGGGAGCGCAGGCGGAUUGACAAGUUGGGAGUGAAAACUACGGGCUCAACCCGUAACCUGCUUUCAAAACUGUCAGUCUUGAGCGGUGUAGAGGUAGGCGGAAUUCCCGGUGUAGCGGUGGAAUGCGUAGAUAUCGGGAGGAACACCAGUGGCGAAGGCGGCCUACUGGGCACUAACUGACGCUGAGGCUCGAAGGCAUGGGUAGCAAACAGGAUUAGAUACCCGCGUA
rnacentral:rRNA from 1 species